rnacentral:pre_miRNA from 1 species
GAUUUCAAAUGAAAAAGUUAUCAAUAACAAAGUUGUAUAACUCAUCAAGAUCUAUAACUUCUAUUUUGGUCAUUUCUUCAUCCGAUAAAGUGAUUUGUAAGAUUGUUCACAAAAUAUACAAGAUGUACAUUUUGUGAACAAUCUUACAAAUCACUUUAUCGGAUGAAGAAAUGACCAAAAUAGAAGUUAUAGAUCUUGAUGAGUUAUACAACUUUGUUAUUGAUAACUUUUUCAUUUGAAAUC